rnacentral:rRNA from 1 species
AUUGAACGCUGGCGGCAUGCCUUACACAUGCAAGUCGAACGGUAACGGGCCUUCGGGUGCCGACGAGUGGCGAACGGGUGAGUAAUACAUCGGAACGUGCCCGAUCGUGGGGGAUAACGAGGCGAAAGCUUUGCUAAUACCGCAUACGAUCUACGGAUGAAAGCAGGGGACCGCAAGGCCUUGCUCGGACGGAGCGGCCGAUGGCAGAUUAGGUAGUGGGGGGGAUAAAAGCCUACCAAGCCGACGAUCUGUAGCUGGUCUGAGAGGAUGAUCAGCCACAGGGGGACGGAGACGGGGCCCACACCCGGGGGGGGGGGAGGGGGGGGGUGUUGGGCACAGGGGGCGCAGGCCUGACCCAGCAAUGCCGCGGGCGGGAAGAGGCCUUUGGGUUUGUAAACCUUUUUGGAACGAAACAAAAAGUCUCUUUAAAAAAGGGGGGGCAGAGGACGGAACCAAAAGAAAAAGCAGCGGCAAACUGCGC